CUAAACAGAGAUAAGCAGCACCCUGAACAUGCCUGAUUUCAUCUGCUCUUGGAAGCUAAGCAGGAUCAGGCAUGGUUAGUGUUUGGAUGGGAGACCUCUCGGGAACACCAGGUACUGUAGACA